rnacentral:rRNA from 1 species
UAGGGAAUCUUCGGCAAUGGACGGAAGUCUGACCGAGCAACGCCGCGUGAGUGAAGAAGGUUUUCGGAUCGUAAAGCUCUGUUGUUAGAGAAGAACGUUGGUAGGAGUGGAAAAUCUACCAAGUGACGGUAACUAACCAGAAAGGGACGGCUAACUACGUGCCAGCAGCCGCGGUAAUACGUAGGUCCCGAGCGUUGUCCGGAUUUAUUGGGCGUAAAGCGAGCGCAGGCGGUUCUUUAAGUCUGAAGUUAAAGGCAGUGGCUUAACCAUUGUACGCUUUGGAAACUGGAGGACUUGAGUGCAGAAGGGGAGAGUGGAAUUCCAUGUGUAGCAGUGAAAUGCGUAGAUAUAUGGAGGAACACCGGUGGCGAAAGCGGCUCUCUGGUCUGUAACUGACGCGGAGGCUCGAAAGCGUGGGGAGCAAACAGG